rnacentral:rRNA from 1 species
AAUCAACGCUGGCGGCGUGCCUAACACAUGCAAGUCGAACGCGACUGGGGGCUUCGGCUCUCAGUUGAGUGGCGAACGGGUGAGUAACACGUGGGUGAUCUACCUUCGAGUGGGGGAUAACGUCCCGAAAGGGACGCUAAUACCGCAUGACGUUCCGGGUUUAAAGACCUGGAAACCAAAGCCGGGGACCGCAAGGCCUGGCGCUUGAAGAGGAGCCCGCGUCCGAUUAGCUAGUUGGCGGGGUAAUGGCCCACCAAGGCGACGAUCGGUAGCCGGCCUGAGAGGGCGGACGGCCACACUGGGACUGAGACACGGCCCAGACUCC